AAACAUGUAAUCCAUGCUAUGGCUCUUAUUCCUUGCGACAACGAAUCAAUAAAAACGAAAAUGACUUGCAAAACACGUGCGUUUAUUUACUUGCCGGUUGUGGCGAGCACGCACCGGCCAAACUGUAUAAUAGCUGUAGAAGUCGCAUAGUGGUCUCCACAACCUGCAAUUUAUGACACUAAAUAUAGUAACGCUCGUAUGAUUGUUCUAUAACGCCAGGACAUGGGUGUAUACCGCAAUAUCAUUAGAGUGUACAUAACUCUUUAUCAUUAGUGUGUGCAUACCUCAAUAUCAUAAGAGUUAAUUUACCUCAGUAUCAUUAGAGUGUAAUUACCUAAAUAUCAUAAGUAUUUUCAUACCUCAAUACCGUUAGUCGGUGCAUGACUCAAUAACAUUAGUGUGUACAUCCCUCAUUAUCAUUAGCGUGGUAUACCUUUAUUACCAUUAAUGUGUAAAUACCUCAAUAUCAUUAGUGUUAAUUUACCUCAAUAUCAUAAUUGUGUACAUAUCUUAAUAUAAUUAUUGCGUACAUACCUCAAUAUCAUUAGUGUGUAACUACCUCGAUAUCAUUAGUUUGUACAUACCUCAAUAUCAUUAGUGUUAAUUUACCUCAAUAUCAUAAUUGUGAACAUAUCUUAAUAUAAUUAUUGCGUACAUACCUCAAUAUCAUUAGUGUGUAACUACCUCAAUAUCAUUAGUUUGUACAUACCUCAAUAGCAUUAGUGUGUACAUACCCCAUUAUAAUUAGUGUGUUCAUACCUCAAUAUUAUUAGCGUUUACAUACAUAAAUAUCAUACGCGAUUAUAUACCUCAUAAAUUAAUUUUGUGCAUACCUCAAUAUCAUAAGUGUUACAUACCUCAACAUCAUUAGUGCAUACAUUCCUCAAUAUCAUAAAUGUUUACAUACCUCAUAAACUUAGCGUGUGCAUAGCUCAUUAACUUAUUGUGUACAUACCUCAAUAUCAUUAGUUUGUAAAUACCUCAAUAGCAUUAGUGUUAAUUGACCACAAUAUCAUAAGUGUGUACACACCACAAUAUAUUUUUUGUGUACAUAACUCAAUUUCGUAAGUGUGUACAUACCUCAUAAACUUAAUGUGUACAUACCAAAAUAUCAUUAGUGUUUCCAUUCGUCAAUAUCAUUAGCGUGUAUAUACCUUAUUAUACUUAGUGUGUACAUAUCUCAAUAUCAUUAGUGUGUACAUACCUCAAUAUCAUUAGUGUGCACAUACCUCAAUAUCAUAAUGUUUACAUACCUCAUAAACUUAGCGUGUGCAUACCUCAUUAACUUAUUGUGUACAUACCUCAAUAUCAUUAGUUUGUAAAUACCUCAAUAUCAUUAGUGCUAAUUGACCACAAUAUCAUUAGUGUAUACAUUCCACAAAAUAAUUAGUGUGUACAUGACUCAAUUUCAUAAGUGUGUACAUACCUCAUAAACAUAGCGUGUAAAUACCUCAUAAACUUUGUGUGUACAUACCUCAAUAUCAUAAGCGUGUUCAUACCUCAUUAACUUUGUGUGUACAUACCCCAAUAUUAUUAGCGUGUACAAACCUCCUAAACUUUGUGUGUACAUACCUCAAUAUCAUAAGCGUGUACAUAAUUCAUAAACUUAUUGUGUACAUACCUCAAUAUCAUUAGUGUGUACAUACCUCAAUAUCAUUAGUUUUUAUAUACCUCAAUACCAUUAGCGUGUAUAUACCUCAAUUACUUAGUGUGCACAUACCUCAAUAUCAUUAAUGUGUACAAAACUUAAUAUAAUUACUGUAACUUAAAUAUAUAUUUUUCACAGGUCUGGAUCUUCUUCACUCCAUUACAAGCCGGGCUAACAUGACCUUACGCAUUGACUUGAGUUUACCAGACGGAACUACUGGAUUCGACGAGUACUCGGGGUUUUAUAUUUCUCCACCAGACCAAUACAUCUUCAACGUUGAUAGGAGGAUCAACUCAGCAGGAAUGUCCGGUUCCUAUCUUCUCUCCGACAUCGGUAGUGGUGCGGAUAUCAACCACCAGCCGUUUUCAACAUACGAUAGAGACAAGUCAACUGGCAACUGUGCCCGGAUUUAUGGAGCAGGCUGUUGGUACAAUGUCUGCGCGCACAGUAACCUGAAUGCACAGUACACUAAUGGCAGGUAUAGCGGCUAUUACGGUUCCUUCUCACGGUACGCAACGUUGAAGACGUCGACUAUGAUGCUACGAUUGAGUAAUUAAGAUUUAACCGCAGCAUUUAAUGCAUUUAAUUAUGGUUAGUUCAUUUAAACAGUGUUGUGGAAUUAUGAACUUGAUGCUAUGUUUAAACACAAUCAACUAUUUUAAGCAUUUAAGGUAAACAUUCCGGCCUUUUCCUAAAGCUAUGAAAUGUGCAAUUUGAUUUCUAACUCAAACAUGUUCGUGUUUUGUGAAGUUAGUGAUAGUUCAAAUCAUUUACAUAACUCUUUCAUAGACAGCAAAAGGCAACACGCGGAUAAAUUAUUUGAAUUAUUUUGCCCAAUAUCUCGAGGUGGAGAAAAUUUGCAUCGUUUUUAUUAUUAUUUUGGUAGACUUGUUUUAGUUAUCAUUUAUCACAGUUCAUCGGCAGAAUGUUUUUAGGAUAUAGACAAUCUCGCUUUAUUCAAUACGAAAUAGUAAAGUAAUUUUAUAAAAUAUCGUAUUGUAUGACCAGGAAGUGAGAUUCAAGUUACAGAAUUAAUACUUAUUUGCCAGUUUACAGCGCCAAAAACACAGCCAUUUUUAACGAUAUAAAUUUAUUACGUUUCGUCAUUCGCUUUGGAUAUUUAUUACACUAUUUGAUAUCAAAAAUAUAAUAGGAGUCUUUUUAAGGAAUGAAUUGCGGGAUUAAUGUCAUUAUCGGGGUAUAAACGCAGUUCGGCUGAUUAAACAGAACAGAACAGAACAAAAUGAUUAAAGUAUGUGGAUACCGAACAUGACAUCUUUUCACGCAAUUCAUCACUUAUAUUAACACCAAUAGUUCAUUUUUCUGUCAAGAACUGUUAAGAAAUACUUCUUAUUUAAAAAAGUGAUUAUUGCUCACCUAUUAAGUUAAUUGACCGACUCGACCGCAACCGAACACAGUUUAUCAUAUUACGUAACAAUAGCUUCCAAAAUAUAUUUUUAACGUCAAAAUUAAAACGCUAAUGACAACAAUGCAUAAAACAUUUAAUAAAUUACAAAUGUAACACUUUCUUACAUGUUAAUUUAAGUUCUUUUGUGGCCUGGUGGCCCAUUAAUAACAAUAACAAGAUAAACACUUCCUGACGUGUUGAUUUAAAUUGUUUUGUGGCCUGGUGGCCCAUUAAUAACAAUAACAAGAUAAACACCUCCUGACAUGUUGAUUUAAAUUGUUUUGUGGCCUGGUGGCUCAUUAAUAACAAUAACAAGAUAAACACUUUUAAAUAUACAUAUAUAUUUAAACUCGAUGAUUCGCAAGCGGUUGCAUACAUCGAAAAAAUGUCCUUGCCGAAAGGCAGUUUAUUUAAAGAAUGGAAGUUAGAGUGAAGAUAUUCCAUAAUGAUGACGUCACUUAUUAUUUAAGAAAUAUUGGACACCACCGAGGGCCAUAUGGCAUUAUAAGGACCGGCCAGUCAGCCCCCGAAGGUGAAUAUGGAACGAGGCGUUAGCCGAUGUCCAUUCACUUUCGGGGGCUGACUACCCGGUCCUUAAAAUGCCAUUUGGCCCGAUGUGGGGUGUUAUAUUUCUGAUAUUAACACUUUUUUACAAUUUAUUAAUUUAAAGCGCCUUUGAUGUGUUCUAUUGAACAAAUAUAAUAAAGUUUACUUGUGAAAACAAAUGUCAUUGUGAAAAUUGCAAGCAGCACUCACCAGUUUUAUGACGUCAGCGGUCCAUAUUAUAUGACGUCAGUGGUCCAUAUUAUAUUUUUGGCGAGGUCCGGACCGACCAAAACAUGAUAUGGACCGCUGACGUCAUACAAACUAGAUUUUUAUUAAAAUACAUUGAUAUACGGAUCGAUCAACUUUAUAUACACAAAGAAGGGACUUAUUAAUGUAAGGUAUAAUAUAUUCACUGGAUACAAUUUUGUUUCAAGGUAUCCCUCUAAUGAACGUGAAGUGUACAUAUUAUUAUUAUCAUGUUGUAAUUUGUAUGGUAAUGUUUCUUUAACUAGCGUGAAGUGUACAUAUUAUUAUUAUUAUCAUGUUGUAAUUUGUAUGGUAAUGUUCCUUUAACUAGCGUGAAUUGCACAACAUGUUAUUAUCAUGUUGUUAUUUGAAUGGUAAUGUUACUUUUUACUAGCGUGAAGUGUACACAUUAUUAUUAUCAUGUUGUAAUUUGAAUGGUAAUGUUCCUUUAUCUAGCAUGAAGUGUACAUAUUAUUAUUAUCAUGUUGUAAUUUGUGUGGUAAUGUUCCUUUAACUAGCGUGAAGUGUACAUAUUAUUAUUAUCAUGUUGUAAUUUGAAUGGUAAUGUUUCUUUAACUAGCGUGAAGUGUACAAAUUAUUAUUAUGUUGUAAUUUGAAUGGUAAUGUUCUUUAACUAGCGUGAAGUGUACAUAUUAUUAUUAUCAUGUUGUAAUUUGAAUGGUAAUGUUUCUUUAACUAGCGUGAAGUGUACACAUUAUUAUUAUCAUGUUGUAAUUUGAAUGGUAAUGGUCUUUAACUAGCGUGAAGUGUACGCAUUAUUAUUAUCAUGUUGUAAUUUGAAUGGUAAUGUUCUUUAACUAGCGUGAAGUGUACACAUUAUUAUUAUCAUGUUGUAAUUUGAAUGGUAAUGUUCCUUUAUCUAGCGUGAAGUGUACAUAUUAUUAUUUUUUUAUUAUUAUUAUUAAAUUCAUGUCAUAAAAUUAAACUAAGAUGAAAAUGUUUUAUGUCACACUAUUGCGUGUAUGGUUUCUGAAAGUUAUUGUUAAUUAAUUGUUUUUCGUUUCCAUUGAAAUCGAUUUUGAAAUUGAAUUCUUAGUCUUCUUGAUUUCCAUAAAAUUGACGAAUGCACAUACAUCCGAGCACCUAGUACUACAGCUGGGUAUCUUUCUACACUUCCAUGGAUCAAAGCAACGAAGUUUUAAUGACAUCUGCAUUUAAUGUCACUUUAAAUGUUUUAAAAGUUCUAAAUGCCACAUAAUUAAUGCCACUUUGAAUGUUGAAAAGUUGUAACUGGCUCAUUAAAUAAUGUCACUUUGAAGGCUUUAAGGUUUUAAGUGCAUCUUUGUGUUAUGUCACUUUGAAUGUUGUUAGGUUCAAAAGGAAGAUUUUUGCAAUGCCACUCAAAAAGGUUUAAAUGCCGCUUUGUUUAAUGUCACUUUGAAUGUAUUCGGUUUUACUGCUCACGCUUUGCUUUUGAUAUUUAUUAAACGUGUGAACACAA